rnacentral:rRNA from 1 species
GACGAACGCUGGCGGCGUGCUUAACACAUGCAAGUCGAGCGAUGAAACACCUUCGGGUGCGGAUUAGCGGCGAACGGGUGAGGAACACGUGAGGAAUCUGCCUUCCACUCUGGGAUAACUCCGGGAAACCGGGGCUAAUACGGGAUACUUUCAAUGGGCGGCAUCGCCGGUUGAAGCAAGAUUUUCGGUGGAAGAUGACCUCGCGGCCUAUCAGCUUGGUGGUGAGGUAAAGGCUCACCAAGGCGACGACGGGUAGCCGGCCUGAGAGGGCGACCGGCCACACUGGGACUGAGACACGGCCCAGACUCCUACGGGAGGCAGCAGUGGGGAAUAUUGGGCAAUGGAGGAAACUCUGACCCAGCGACGCCGCGUGAGGGAUGAAGGCCUUCGGGUUGUAAACCUCUUUCAGCAGGGAAUAAGCGAAAGUGAAGGUACCUGCAGAAGAAGCACCGGCUAACUAUGUGCCAGCAGCCGCAGUAA